rnacentral:misc_RNA from 1 species
GAUGAAGAACGCAGCGAAAUGCGAUAAGUAAUGUGAAUUGCAGAAUUCAGUGAAUCAUCGAAUCUUUGAACGCACAUUGCGCCCGCCAGCACUCUGGCGGGCAUGCCUGUUCGAGCGUCAUUUCAACCAUCAAGCCCCCAGGGGCUUGUGCUGGGGCCCUGCGGCUCCCCGCAGGCCCUGAAAACCAGUGGCGGGCUCGCUAGUCACACCGAGCGCAGUAGCACAUCUCGCUCAGGGCGUGCGGCGGGCUCCUGCCGUGAAACCCCCCACUGUAACCCCAAAGGUUGACCUCGGAUCAGGUAGGAAUACCCGCUGAACUUAAGCAUAUCAAUAACGGAGGA